ACCUUGUCCUCGGCGCUGCAGGCUGCCUCCGCCUUGCGGCUGUGAACCGCCCGGAGACCUUGAGCGUGGAAAAAAACAUUUUUUCUCUCAAAGGUGUAACCUGUGGAUCGCAGUAGGCGAAACUGGGAAAAUGAGACUCACACACAGAACGAACACUCUGUGAAGGUGAAGACAGAGAUCACAGUGAUGUUUCUACAUGCCAGGGAACACCAAAGAUGACCAGCAGACCCCAAGAAGCUGGGGGAGAGGCCUGGGACAGACUCUUCUUCACAGCCUCAGAAUGAACCGACCCUGCUGACGCCUUGAUCUCAGACUUCCAGCCUCCAGAGCUGGAUGUAACAACCUCCGGGAAAAAGACUUCUGCUGGUAUCCAUCACCAGUGACAGGACAAAGGGAUGAUCUGGAGUCUCAAGGACUACAAGACCAGAUGGUCAACAUUCCAAGACCUCUGCCCCCCAACCUUCAGCCCAUUUGCCCUGUAUAACUGCUGCAAAUUUUUGUGGUUUUAAGACAGUUCUUUGGGACACUAGUCUACCAUCUCCCCCCUUGCUAGCAAGCUGUAAUAAAAAGACCCUUUGUCUCCUA